UACGGAGGGUGCAAGCGUUGUCCGGAUUUAUUGGGUUUAAAGGGUGCGUAGGCGGCUCUUUAAGUCAGUGGUGAAAUCCUACAGCUUAACUGUAGAACAGCCAUUGAUACUGAAGAGCUUGAGUACAGACGAGGUAGGCUGAAUUUAUGGUGUAGCGGUGAAAUGCAUAGAUAUCGAGAGGAACACCGGUGGCGAAGGCGGCCUUCUGGACAGUGACUGACGCUGAGACGCGAAAGCGUGGGGAGCAAACAGG
rnacentral:rRNA from 1 species